UCUCACUCGAAUUACAGAAUCGACCCGGACGUCAUUUCGGGAUUGCAUUUACGUGUUCUGCGCGUAUCUGCAUUAUUGUUAUUUUCUUUCUUUCUUUAUUUGGCUCUCUUCAGGGGUUGGCUUGUUUUCUUUUUACUGACGGACGUCCGCAUAUUUCUCUGGUUUUUCAACAGUGCAACCGCCGCACGUGGCAGCGUCUCCCCCAUAGAGGCAUGGCUUCGGACUCAAGUGGGAGAACUAAUCAUAGCCCGCGUAGCGUUUCCUCUUCCCUUCACUCUCCUAUCCUUGUCUACAAUCCGCAUGAGCCUGUAAAUUCUAUUCCAAGUACAAUGGAUUCCAAAGCACCGGAAAAUCUAUCCGAUUCUCAAUGCGAUAUUCUCAAUCUGUUUCAGAGUUCGCCCAUGGACAUCGAUGAAAUAAUUAACUCAAGGAAACGUCCCUCUUCUGACCGGGACGUAAGCCAAGAUUCGCCCCUCGUUACCCCACCUCCCCGAAAAAAUCUUCUGAGGUUAUUUCCUCAUCUUCAAAUACACAAGGAUCGCAACAACAACAACAACAGGGCAAAGGCAGUCGGACACAUUGCAAAAGUGUACAAGAGCCAGCCAAAAUGCCUUUAUUGUGGGAGCAAUAGACACAAAGCGGAAGUCGAGAGCUCUUGUUCUGAAGAGGGUGACAAGUGCAUUAACUGCAAAGAUUUAGAUGACUAUGGAGGAGAAUAUUAUAGAUCUUAUGCAGAUGUCAAUUCGAGUUCAAGAUCGUACUGCUUCUGGUAGCUUCAACAGCGGGCUCAACAAGAGCCGUUCUUCUCCUCACGAAGCAACCCCUUCCAGCGCUCCGCCUCCUCGCAGAAACUCCAGUCAGCAACAUUUUGACGCAGAGACUUACACGAGGUCCGCACACGGCAUGCCAUGACCCCAGAGAAAGCGAACGAAGAAGAAACGGAAAGAACGACUACAUCAGCGCCGCGACGGACGCAUGCAGCGCCGCCACUGGCGCUCGCAGCGCCGCAGCUAACGUUUGCAGCGCCGCGACCAACGGUCGCAACGCCACAAGGUGUCAGAUCAUUAUGCCCUCUAAUGUUACGUGUCUGAAUUGCCUCAAUUUUGUCACAGCUUUUCUAGGUAAAAGGACUGACUUGUUUUCUUUUUACUGAUGGACAUUCACGUAUUAUCGUACUGUUUUCUCGGUUUUUCAACAAUGCAAUCGCCGCACGUGGCGGCGUCCCCCCCCCCCCCCCCCGCAUAGAGGCAUGGCCUCGGAUUCAAGUGGAGGAAGUAAUCAUAGCUCGCGUAGCGUUUCCUUCUCCCUACACCCUUCUACCCUCGUAUAUAAUCCGCAUGAACCUGCAAAUUCUAUUGCAAGUAUAAUGAAUUCUAAAACACCGGAAAAUCUAUCCGACAUUAUGCUCAAAUCUCUCAUAAGUGAAGCAGGCAUGGCCGAGUCGUGCAAUUCGAAUUGCGAGGUUGCGUCAGCCUUUUAAGAGGAUAGCGCAACAAUGUCAUAGUUCGCCCAUGGACAUCGAUGAAAUAAUUAACUCAAGGAAACGUCCCUCCUCCCUGACCGAGACGUAAGCCAGAAUUCACCCCUUAUUUCCUCCUCGAAGAAAUCUUCUGAAGUUAUUUCCCCACCGUCAAAUUCACAGGGAUUGCAACCACAACAGGGCAAAGACGUGAGUUUAUCAGAUCCGCAUGCUCGUGAUAACCUCAAUUCUUCUAAUCCUAAGGCAUCAGCAAAAUAUAAUUCGCAGGAUAAUGACCCCUAUGCAAUUUACUAUCUAUGACAUGAAUCAUGAAAAAUCAACAUACCCCGAUAAUUUCCAGCAUCAUAAUGAAAGCAGAAUUCCGAGUUUUAAGAGUGGGAUUCAUAAAAGAUGUUCCAACUCAAAUUGACUUGGCUGUUCUUAAACGCAUUGAAGUUCCUCAUAAUAGUAAAAUUCUGGACAUCCAUAGGCUCAACAGAAAGACAACCAAAGACGGCAAAACUGAAUAUAUACCCUUAAAGACACUGCGUAUAAAAUUUGCAGACUGAAUUUUGUCGCAUGAAGUAUUUUUGUUAAAGACUAGGCAUGAAGUAUGUCCUUUUAUCCCGAAGCCUCGCAUCUGCUUUGCCUGCUACAGAGUCGGACACAUUGCAAAAGUGUGCAAGAGCCAGCCAAGAUGCCUUUAUUGUGGGGACAAUAGACACGAAACGGGAGCCGA